rnacentral:lncRNA from 1 species
GCGGGGGACACGAGGGUACACGGUGCGUGGAAGGAUGUGGGAUGGCCGGGGGAGGUGGAGCAUGGGAUGGGGGACAGCGGGAAGGGGACACGGGGCAGCAGGAGGGGCAGCACAUGGGACAUGAUGGAGUGCGUAGUACGUGUGGCACAGGACAUCAGGGAUGGCAGCAUGUAGGACACAGGACAUCACGGAGUAUAUAGCACACGUGACAGGGGACAUGAGGGAUAGGACACAGGACAUCAGGGAGCAUACAGCACAUGUGACACAGGACACCAGGGAGCAUACAGCACACGGGACACGGGACACCAGGGACAGGACACAGGACAUCAUGGAGCAUAUAGCACAUGUGACAGGGGACAUCAGUGAUGGGUCAGAGGACAUCACGGAGUAUAUAGCACAUGUGACACGGGACACCAGGGAUGGGACACAGGACAUCAGGGAGCAUAUAGCACAUGUGACACGGGACACCAGGGAUGGCAGCAUAUGGGACACAGGACAUCACGGAGUGUAUCGCACAUGUGACACGGGACAUCAGGGAUGGGACACAGGGCAUCACAGAGCAUAUAGCACAUGUGACACAGGACACCAGGGAUGGCAGCAUGUGGGACACAGGACAUCACGGAGUGUAUCGCACAUGGGACAAGUGACACAGGGAAGGCAGCGUGUGCGACACCACACAGCUGGCACACGGUACGUGCAGCACCAGGCACCCACAGGACCAGGUGGGCCAGCACUCAGGACAUGGGGCUCUGGGGAUAGCGGCACAUGGGACAGGACAUACGGGACACCAGACAUGACAACGCCUGGGACUCUGAACAUCCAGUGCGAGGCGUGCGGGGCUCCAGGGACGACAGAACAGAAGCCACACCAAGUGUCACUACCGAGGACCCCAGGCCCAUCCAGCCACCAGCAGAUGUGGCACACAGGACACCAGACGUGCCAGCAUACGGGACACCAAACCCAUCCAUAG